CCUACGGGAGGCAGCAGUAGGGAAUCUUCCACAAUGGGCGAAAGCCUGAUGCAGCAACGCCGCGUGGGUGAAGAAGGUCUUCGGAUCGUAAAACCCUGUUGUUAGAGAAGAAAGUGCGUGAGAGUAACUGUUCACGUUUCGACGGUAUCUAACCAGAAAGCCACGGCUAACUACGUGCCAGCAGCCGCGGUAAUACGUAGGUGGCAAGCGUUAUCCGGAUUUAUUGGGCGUAAAGGGAACGCAGGCGGUCUUUUAAGUCUGAUGUGAAAGCCUUCGGCUUAACCGGAGUAGUGCAUUGGAAACUGGGAGACUUGAGUGCAGAAGAGGAGAGUGGAACUCCAUGUGUAGCGGUGAAAUGCGUAGAUAUAUGGAAGAACACCAGUGGCGAAAGCGGCUCUCUGGUCUGUAACUGACGCUGAGGUUCGAAAGCGUGGGUAGCAAACAGGAUUAGAUACCCUUGUAGUC
rnacentral:rRNA from 1 species